UUGAAAUUCCUCUUGUUACAUAAUUGAAGUGCAAAACCUUUAACUCAAGAAUUUCUCAUUCGACUUCAGAGAUAUCUGGAUAUUAGUCUAUUUACCUGAUAUUGAUUCUGAAAUGAUUGACUUAUGGGUGAUAGCCACUUUAAACUUCAAUCCCAUAAGCCGGGAGUUGGGAACUUGACCCUAUACAGAGCUCUCACCCCAUGGUGAUCCCACGUGGUUAAAUUCUGAAUACUAAUGAAGGUAUUGACCACUGAUCUUAAAACUAGACUGGAUAGAGCAACUUUUUGAAUUCAGAGAAUUAAUUUUGAAACUGGAAUAUUUAUAAUGAGAAAAGAUUUUUAAAUCUGUCACAUUCCUUACGAAUAAAAUCGUUACGUGUUUAAAUUAGUUUCGUUCCAAGCAAAUGUCUUCUUCUACGUAACUUGAAAGAUAUAGCCACACUUCUUCUAAUGAGUUUGUUUAGAUCGUUUUAAACACGUGAUAAUGAGAUUUGAGGCGUGAAGGAACCGUCAGAGGCCACUAAUAACCAAUUUCUCUCUAGGCAAUAUUUUUUAUUUUUACCAAUCACCAGAAACUUUAAGAACGUCUUCUAGCAUGUCACCAACACCACUGUAGAUUUGCUAUGGUCACAUCAAUAUGGCCGUCGUUGGCUUCAUUUAUGCAUGUGGAUGCUCUAUCCAGUCUGGUUUUGAGAUCAGCGGUAUUGGCUCAAGUUGUAAAAUAGUGUAUGCAUUGUAUGCAUUAGUAAAUUUAGUAGCAUAAUUUUUGCCAUAAGCAGGAACGUCGCGAAUUAGGGGGUGUAACACUUAGGUGGAUGUUUAUUCUAAAAUUUUACGUUAAAUUUGAAUAAAAAUAUAUGCGGUGUUUUGGAAUGAUAACUUGUUCAAAAAGUAUUUGAAAGAAACGCAAUUCAAUCAUUUACAAUUUCGUUUCGAAAAAUACUAAAAAUACAGUGUUAGAGUUUCGAAAAUUACAAAAAAAUCCUUUGGGUCCCACAAUCAGCCACCGCUUGACCAUUUCCACACCUGAGGUCUGUUUCAUACUAGUGUCUGUAUUUAAAUUCGUACAAGAUGUUUCAUUCAUCUGUCAGUCAGAUAGAAAAAAAGUCUAUUGUGCAUUUUGUUUUCAUACGACAUACUGGUCGCCCAGUCGAAACAAAUGUGCUAUGUCUUAAUGUUUGAUUCUGUUUAAUAGCAAGGCAUGUUAUACAAUAUUACUUUCACGUUUGGAAUGAAAUAGAGCUUUGCUCAAUGAAUUUAAUAGCAAAUUUGUCUGAAUUUUGAUCCAAAGUAUGAACCAAGCCUCUGAAACGUAAUUGCAAUGUGAAUGAUAUAAUUGUCAAUGAAAAUGUAUGUGUGUUACACUACAUGACUGCGUUCGUGAAGUAAAUCCUCUAUUAAGCCCCAAUUUAUUUAUGGCACGUUUGAGGGGAUGUUUAUUGGAGAGGGAGGUAUAAUAGAAAGGGGGGACUUAUGAUCAUGAUUUAGAUAUCUAAACGUGGUAACCUAAAAUCUAACAUAAACGUCCAGGAUAAUUUGUCUAUAAAUCUAUUCGGUGAACAUGUGUUUAUAUAUGAAGGGGAUGGGGGAGGGUCGCUUGUAUUGGAGAAAAAAGUACUACUAAUUGAUGUAUUUAUAUGUGACUUAUUAGAGAUUGAUCAUUGGAGGGAAGCUUUUUUAGGAGGUGGGGGGUGGGGGGGGGGGUCUUAAUAGAGGAUUUGCGGUAACACACAACCCGAGUUUCGCGACGUCCCUUGCUGAAUGUUUGUAUAUAGUAUACUUUGCAUUAGAAAUCUAGUCUUAGGAGAAAAAUGCAGAAAUAGAUAUUUUAAAUUGACAGCAUAUACUUUGCUUGUAUUUAAAUUUGCGUGGUUCUAAUUUUCGCUCAGUCUUAAAUUCGUGCGAUUUAGUUUCGCACACCCGAAAAAGGCGAAAUGUGAUAUUUUAGUGCAGAUUUAACUUAAUCUGCGCGCUUGAUUAAAACGGUACUAACCGAGAAAAAGAACACGUGAAUGAUAGUUUUCAGUCCGUGCUAAAAUGACUGGGAACCUCAAUUUUUUACGAAAGUACAAUUGUUACUGAUUUUCGAGAAACCUGGAGUCGGUUGUAUAAAAAGAUAGUUAAAGU